AGCAGCCGCGGUAAUUCCAGCUCCAAUAGCGUAUAUUAAAGUUGCUGCAGUUAAAAAGCUCGUAGUUGAAUUUCGGGACUAAUAUGUCGGUCGUGCCUCGGUACGUACUGGUAUUUUUGGUUUCUCCCUUCUGACGAACCUUGAUGUCAUUAAUUUGGUGUCUUGGGAAAUCAGGACUGUUACUUUGAAAAAAUUAGAGUGUUUAAAGCAGGCUCACGCUUGAAUACAUUAGCAUGGAAUAAUGAAAUAGGACGUUUGAUUCUAUUUUGUUGGUUUCUAGGAUUGACGUAAUGAUUAAUAGGGAUAGUUGGGGGCAUUAGUAUUCAAUUGUCAGAGGUGAAAUUCUUGGAUUUAUUGAAGACUAACUACUGCGAAAGCAUUUGCCAGGGAUGUUUUCAUUAAUCAAGAACGAAAGUUAGGGGAUCGAAGACGAUCAGAUACCGUCGUAGUCUUAACCAUAAACUAUGCCGACUAGGGAUCGGAUGAUGUUAAUUUUUAAUGACUCAUUCGGCGCCUUACG
rnacentral:rRNA from 1 species